rnacentral:misc_RNA from 1 species
GAUGAAGAACGUAGCGAAAUGCGAUAAGUAAUGUGAAUUGCAGAAUUCAGUGAAUCAUCGAAUCUUUGAACGCACCUUGCACCCUUUGGCUAUUCCGAAGGGUAUGCCUGUUUGAGUAUCAUGAACACCUCAACUCUCAUGGUUUGCCAUGAUGAGCUUGGACUUUGGGGGUCUUGCUGGCCUGUGGACAGCUCCUCUCAAAUGGAUUAGCUUGCCAGUGUUUGGUGGCAUCACAGGUGUGAUAACUAUCUACGCUUGUGGUUUUCCACCAGGUAACCUUCAGCAAUGGGGGUUCGCUGGGGCUCAUAAAUGUCUCUCCUCAGCGAGGACAGCUCUUUGAACGUUUGAUCUCAAAUCAGGUAGGACUACCCGCUGAACUUAAGCAUAUCAAUAAGCGGAGGA